rnacentral:rRNA from 1 species
AUGCCCGGCAACGAGCAUCGCUUCGCGGCGUGCUCCGCUCGGUCGCUACGGGACGUCGUCUGCGUCGGCGACGUGCUCAAGUUUGUUGAGAUACAUUUUCAUGGAGACGACGAGGAGGACAAGGAGGAGGACGAUGGCGUGAGCUUGGAGGGUAGACGUGUCGACUAUGGCUGGAAGGCGACUGCUUGGAAUAUGAUAGUUUCUUCAGGGGACUGGCAUGCCGGCUGUACCGUGGACACUGAUGACAUCCCGUUAACUGAUGAAAUGCACUCCUUUUUGGUGUCUAAGCUGCCGGAAGUCAAGGCAGAAAAGCUAUCCUGGAGCAACCUUAUUUGGUAUGGCCCCACCCUGAGCAUGGACCAAGAUAUUCUAUACAUGAUAUUCAGGCGAAUCAUGUAUCCUGGACACGACGAGGAACGGCAGGUUGCGGUUGACAUGAAAAAGAAUGCACUGGAAAUCGUCUCUUUUACUGCCGAAGAGAAGCACUUUUGCGAUCCGACCUAUCGCCCAAUUGCUUUAUCCAAGAAUCAGCCAACAUCGAAUCUAUCAUGA